ACUCUGGAUAAACAUAGUUGAUCGCACGACUUUACGUCGGCGACGUAUCUUUCAAGCGUAUGCCCUAUCAGCUGUCGACGGUAGGGUAGCGGCCUACCGUGGCAUCAACGGGUAACGGGGGAUCAGGGUCCGAUCCCGGAGAGUAAGCCUGAGAGACGGCUUACACAUCUAAGGAAGGCACCAGGCGCGCAAAUUACCCAAUGGGGAAACCCUGAGGUAGUGACAAGAAAUAACAAUACGCGACUCUUUCGAGGCCGCGUAAUUGGAAUGAGCACAGUCUAAAUCCUUUAGCGAGGAUCAAUUGGAUGGCAACUCUGGUGCCAGCAGCCGCGGUAAUUCCAGCUCCAAUAUCGUAUAUUACCGUUGCUGCCGCU
rnacentral:rRNA from 1 species